ACCCUCAAGUCAUGCUUGCUUCUAUGAACAUCUUUAACCCCCUGUCUGCCAGGAAACCCCCAAAUCCUAUAUGCUACCCCACAGUGGAAACUGUGGAAGCCCUGCUGUCUCUACACCAUCCCAUAUCAGGUUGUCUUGGUAUCUGCCACAGAGCCUCAGCACUGAUUCCAUAAAUCCUUCUCCUUUGGCCAAUGCUCAGCCACCCUCUCCCCUCUUGCCAACCAUUGGGACACUCACCUCCAUCUGUGUUUCUUCAUUUAUAUCUCCAUCUUUGGGAGAAGGCACAGCAGGACCUCUCUGCUCCAAGCUCCUCCAAAGAACUCUACAGAGCAGCUUGCCUGAGAUAAGUGUUAGCUGGUCUCCAAGUCUAUGGUUCAGGCCAGAGGAGCCCUGCUGCCUGCUGCCUUCUUGUGGCAGGAAUGGAGGAAAAAUACAAGGGAAGCCCAAGAGCUUUGCUCUUCAGUUCCCCCAGAGAACUGGGAACCAGCCCUAUGUGAUCUGGGAGCCUCUACCAGCACCAGGCCAAGCCCCACUUGGAGUCAGCAGACUAGCCAAACUGGCAACAUGAGGCAGCUGGAGUGCUACACCUGAAGUCAAGGGACCUGGGUUUGGAACUGGAACUUAUACCAACUACUACCUAGAGAGCCUGGGCAGUUGUCAGCCGGUGAAGCCAGCUUCUCCUCCUCCUUACUACCCAGGAGAAUGUAAAGAUAAGCUCGGACUACAUGAUGGACUACAUGAGUUACUCUUCCUUCCUUCCCUAAACAUGCUGAACACCAUCUCUGUUCAUCAACAGCACCCUGCAAAAUAAGAAUGGUCUUAAUGGACUGGUAGACUGUAAAAUAUUGGUAUCUGGUAAGUUUUUUGUAAUCUGAGUUUACGGCAG
rnacentral:lncRNA from 1 species